rnacentral:rRNA from 1 species
UACGGAGGGUGCAAGCGUUAAUCGGAAUUACUGGGCGUAAAGCGUGCGCAGGCGGUUUGUUAAGUCCGCUGUGAAAUCCCCGAGCUCAACUUGGGAAUUGCAGUGGAUACUGGCAAGCUGGAGUAUGGUAGAGGAAGGUGGAAUUCCCGGUGUGAGCAGUGAAAUGCGUAGAGAUCGGGAGGAACACCAGUGGCGAAGGCGGCCUUCUGGACCAAUACUGACGCUCAUGCACGAAAGCGUGGGGAGCAAACAGG